CCUACGGGUGGCAGCAGUGAGGAAUAUUGGUCAAUGGACGAGAGUCUGAACCAGCCAAGUAGCGUGAAGGAUGACUGCCCUAUGGGUUGUAAACUUCUUUUAUAUGGGAAUAAAAUGUUCCACGUGUGGGAGUUUGUAUGUACCAUAUGAAUAAGGAUCGGCUAACUCCGUGCCAGCAGCCGCGGUAAUACGGAGGAUCCGAGCGUUAUCCGGAUUUAUUGGGUGUAAAGUGAGCGUAGGUGGAUUGUUAAGUCAGUUGUGAAAGUUUGCGGCUCAACCGUAAAAUUGCAGUUGAAACUGGCAGUCUUGAGUACAGUAGAGGUGGGCGGAAUUCGUGGUGUAGCGGUGAAAUGCUGAGAUAUCACGAAGAACUCCGAUUGCGAAGGCAGCUCACUGGACUGCAACUGACACUGAGGCUCGAAAGUGUGGGUAUCAAACAGGAGUAGAUACCCGUGUAGUC
rnacentral:rRNA from 1 species